CUCCAGAGUCCGCGCCCGGCAGCUGCCUGGAAACUGUGUGGGCUCCAGGAGCGACCUCGGCGAUUACUGGCUGGGGAAUAUUCUGGGUUUCAGCUUGCAGUACACAGCGACUGGACCCCUCGUGGGGAGCUGGUACUCGUGCGUGUCCUUCGCUGCGUCCGCCUCCCUCGCCUCUCCCGCCUCUCCGUGCCCUUCACGCGCCGAAGAUGAAGAUGGGUCCCCCUGUUGCUCAGACCCUCUGAGGCACACCCACCAGUCCUUGCCGCUCUGUAGCAGCGGGGCCCUUUCCCGAGGGUCCCUGUCCUGGCUGCCUCGGUAUGGUAUGCUGAGUAGGUCCACGACGUCUCCCUUUCGUGGUCAUUUUGACUUUGAGGAAGAGCCAGAAGUCACACAGUGCCGCACCUGACAAUACAAGGCCAAAGCAAAGAGGAAGAUCAAGCAGCCUUAGAUGAGACAGCAGUCGCCAGUGACCACAUUCCCACUCAACUGGACUUUCCAAAUGGAGACCAUUCCUGUGGCCAGUGAGCUGGCUGGCUGAAUAAGAGAGCUGAAGCCCAGAUCUGUGGCACACACCUGCAAUCUCUGUUACUUGGGAUACUGGGGCAGGAGGAUUGCUAGUUCAAGCCCAGAUUGGGUAAAACUUAGUGAGAUUUUUGUCUCACAGUAAAUUGCUGGAGAUGUAGCUCUGUGGUAGAGUGCCCCUGGGUUUGUUUGGUUGGUUGGUUUUGGUGUUUUGAGACAGGGUCUCACUGUGUAGUUCAGGGUGGCCUUGAACUCACUUUGUAGCCUAGGCUGGCCUCAAACUCUCAUCAAUCCUCCUGCCUCAGCCUCCAGAGUACUGGGAUUACAGGUGUGCACCACCAUGCCCAGAUGUGCCCUGGGUUUGACCUGAACUGUGAAUCUGCUUGUUUUUAUUAUUUCUCCUUACAUCUCACCUCUUUGUUUCCAUCCAUACGAUAUUUCAUCAAGACUGACAGCUUGGCAGGUGGCUCUAGGAAGUAUUGUCUAUGCUCUUAAAUUUUGAAUGUGUAUAAUUUUUAUUAGUAAAAUAACCCAUUGAUUUAAAAGAUGCUAUAAUCCUAAAUCAUGAUACAUCAACUUGACAGAUGAAGAAACUCGUGGGGCCUUAGCAAAGCACUCUCCUGGGUGUGUCUGUGGAUGCCUGGCUGUAGGCCAGUGAAUUGAGGGGAGACCAGCCCGGGCGGUGUUUGGCGCCACCAACAGGCUUCAACCUGGAUGGAGUAAAAGUGGGAGGAAGAAGGAAGUGUGUUUGUUACUGAAGAGCUCCAGCCUUCCCAUCUCAUUUCCACAGCCCUCUCCAGUUUUUCAGCUUCCAGCACAAACUCGCAAAGCAGACUCCAGGGAGCUUCCAAGCUCCUGACCUCGGGCUGGCACUGCAUCCCUGUCCUCUUGUUUCAUCUCCCUGGGCUGAGCAGCUCCUGGAUCCUGGUGUGCAGAUAGCCAUUGGACUCUGCCGCCUCUCCGGUCUUGUAAGCUACCUAAUAAAUCCCCUUCUGUAACUAUAUAUGUGUUUUCUGUUGCUUCUGCACUUCUACAGAACCCUGAUAUGGCUUAGAGCAAUACAAAUUAAUUUGCUGAAUGUACAUGCUUGUAUUUCCCAUCUUUUACUAUGGGACUAGUUUUAAAAAGCAGUUUUAUGAAACCACGAGAUAUUUAAGUUCCUGUAUCUGAUUUACAGUGGUAGCUCUGUUCACAAACUUAAUUUGUUCCACGAUUUUGGAAAAGGUGGGCAUGUUUGUGUUCCUAUGGGAAAGAUGGCCACGGUCAUGUUUGUUACCCAGUGUGGAGUUUGGAAACAAAAACAAAAUUUUGCCAAAUGCUUUUAUGAACCACGUUGUUCUCGAACAAAAGAACUUGUGAACUGAGGUACCACUGUAUUUUACUUAACAUUAUGAUUGCAAGGUGAAUCCAUUUUCCUAAAAAUGACUCCUGUAUCCUUCUUUAUAUUACAGUAGUACUUCACUGUGUAUAAACACCAUAUUUUCUUUAUCCAUUCAUCUACCAAGGGACAUAUAGGCAACUUCCAAGAUUUAGCUAUUGUGAAUUGUGGUGCUAUAAGCAUGGGCAUGCAUGGAUCACUGUAAUAUGAUGACUAACUCAGGAAAAUACUGAGGAGGGUAAUAGGUCAAAUGGAAUUUCUUGUUUUCGUUUUUUGAGGAAUCUUCACACUAAUUUCCAUAAUGGUUAUACUAGUUUACAUUCCAACCAGCAGUGAUAAAGGGUUCCUUUUCCCUGAAGCCCGCCCGGCAUUUGUUGUUAUGUGAUUUCUUGAUCAUGACCAUUCUUUUUGGAGUAAGAUGGCAUCUCAGUGUUGUUUUAAUUUGUAUUUCUGUAAUGGCAAAAGAUGUUGAUGUUACUGGUAUAGAGGAAAGCUAUUGAUUUUCAUGUGUUGACUUUGUAUCUUGCUACUGCACUGAAUAUAGUUAUUAUUUUAGGAGACUUUUAGUGGAUAUUUUUGGAUCUUCUAUGUAGAAGAUCAUGUCAUCUGCAAAUAAUGAUAAUUUGACUUCUUACUUUCUUACACAUAUUUCUUUUAUUUCUUUCUCUUUCCUAAAUUGUUUUGACUAAUGUUUCAAGAUCUAUUUUGAACAGUA
rnacentral:lncRNA from 1 species